rnacentral:rRNA from 1 species
UACGUAGGGGGCAAGCGUUGUCCGGAUUUACUGGGCGUAAAGAGCGCGCAGGCGGUCGUUCAAGUCGCGUGUGAAAGCCCCCGGCUCAACUGGGGAGGGUCACGCGAUACUGAUCGACUCGAAGGCAGGAGAGGGUAGUGGAAUUCCCGGCGUAGUGGUGAAAUGCGUAGAUAUCGGGAGGAACACCAGUGGCGAAGGCGACUACCUGGCCUGUUCUUGACGCUGAGGCGCGAAAGCUAGGGGAGCAAACGGG